UUUGAUCCUGGCUCAGGAUGAACGCUAGCGGCAGGCCUAAUACAUGCAAGUCGAACGGGAUCUAUUCGGAGCUUGCUCUGAAUAGUGAGAGUGGCGCACGGGUGCGUAACGCGUGAGCAACCUACCCAUAUCAGGGGGAUAGCCUCUCGAAAGAGAGAUUAAUACCGCAUAACAUCAGUUAAUGGCAUCAUUUACUGAUCAAAUAUUUAUAGGAUAUGGAUGGGCUCGCGUGACAUUAGUUAGUUGGUAAGGUAACGGCUUACCGAGACAAUGAUGUCUAGGGGCUCUGAGAGGAGAAUCCCCCACACUGGUACUGAGACACGGACCAGACUCCUACGGGAGGCAGCAGUAGGGAAUAUUGGUCAAUGGGCGGGAGCCUGAACCAGCCAUGCCGCGUGCGGGAUGAAGGCCCUAUGGGUCGUAAACCGCUUUUGUACGGGAACAACCGUUGGUACGUGUACCAACCUGAGUGUACCGUAAGAAUAAGGAUCGGCUAACUCCGUGCCAGCAGCCGCGGUAAUACGGAGGAUCCGAGCGUUAUCCGGAAUUAUUGGGUUUAAAGGGUGCGUAGGCGGGAUAAUAAGUCAGAGGUGAAAGACAGCGGCUCAACCGUUGCAGUGCCUUUGAAACUGUUAUUCUUGAAUGCGGACGAAGGAGGCGGAACGGGACAAGUAGCGGUGAAAUGCAUAGAUAUGUCCCAGAACCCCGAUUGCGAAGGCAGCUUCCUAGGCCGUUAUUGACGCUGAUGCACGAAAGCGUGGGGAUCGAACAGGAUUAGAUACCCUGGUAGUCCACGCCCUAAACGAUGAUAACUCGAUGUUGGCGAUAUACUGUCAGUGUCCAAGCGAAAGCGUUAAGUUAUCCACCUGGGGAGUACGAUCGCAAGAUUGAAACUCAAAGGAAUUGACGGGGGCCCGCACAAGCGGAGGAGCAUGUGGUUUAAUUCGAUGAUACGCGAGGAACCUUACCCGGGCUUGAAAGUUAGCGACUGAUCCAGAGACGGAUCAUCCCUUCGGGGCGCGAAACUAGGUGCUGCAUGGCUGUCGUCAGCUCGUGCCGUGAGGUGUUGGGUUAAGUCCCGCAACGAGCGCAACCCCUAUGUUUAGUUGCCAGCAUUUUAAGGUGGGGACUCUAAACAGACUGCCUGCGCAAGCAGUGAGGAAGGCGGGGACGACGUCAAGUCAUCAUGGCCCUUACGUCCGGGGCUACACACGUGCUACAAUGGGCAGUACAGCGGGUUGCUACCUAGCAAUAGGAUGCUAAUCUCUAAAAGCUGUCCACAGUUCGGAUCGGGGCCUGCAACUCGGCCCCGUGAAGCUGGAUUCGCUAGUAAUCGCGUAUCAGCAAUGACGCGGUGAAUACGUUCCCGGGCCUUGUACACACCGCC
rnacentral:rRNA from 1 species